rnacentral:siRNA from 1 species
CACGGGCCUGGCUCAACCCG